ensembl:lncRNA
CUCCAGGAUAUGACUGGGUCACCCCAAGUAUGUGACUCCAUCAAAUCGCCUGCAGCUCACAUUUCUACACUUUUUAAAAUGUGUUUAAAAUAUAUAAAAUGUUUGAAAUAUUCGGCCCGGGACAGUUCCAGAUGAAGUAAUUUCUCUCUUUAUUUCAGAUCCACAGCAGCACUGGAUGAGACCCACUCCACGGCAACAAUGGAUGAGAGGCAGAACCUCACGUAUGUAACUCGCAUCACAUCACCUGCUUCUCACAUUUAUACCCAAUCAAAUAUUUAAAAUAUUCAGCCUAGAGUUAUUCAAAAUGUAAUUAUUUCUCUAUUUAGGUCCAUGGAGGCACUGGAUGCAACCCAGUAGGUUUAUGUCCAUCAGCAUACUCUUUAUAUAGCCAAUAUGGACAAAAAAUCUAAACCAUUUUUUUUUUAAUAGAUGAAAUAUAAAUCCAAAAUGUUGAGUGCAUUUUCAUCGUUCUUUAUCUCACCUCCAUAUUGCGUCUAUCAUGUAGUGUUUCUGUAAAGAAUAAUCUAAACAUAUCCAACAUAUCCAUACUCCAACAUAUCACCUCCAUAUCACAUUUCCUCAGUACUUUACUUUUUUAUUGAAAGGCUAUUUUUCACACAAUGUUUUAACCAUUUGUGAGACUCUGUCAUGACUGUUCUUUCUCUCAGCUCCAGGAUAUGACUGGGUCACCCCAAGUAUGUGACCCCAUCAAAUCGCCUGCAUUUCACAUUUCUACACAAUUCACUUUUUCAAAAUCUGUUUAAAAUAUAUUCAAUGUUUGAAAUAUUCAGCCCGGGACAGUUCCAGAUGAAGUUAUUUCUCUCUAUAUUUCAGAUCCACGGUGGCCCAGGAUGAGACCCACUUCUUCAUACUGGCGCAGGAUGAGACCCACUUCAGGAUAUGAUUGGGCAACCCAAAAUCCACGGUGGCCCAGGAUGAGACCCACUUCAGGAUAUGAUUGGGCAACCCAAAAUCCACGGUGGCCCAGGAUGAGACCCACUUCAGGAUAUGAUUGGGCAACCCAAAAUCCACGGUGGCCCAGGAUGAGACCCACUUCAGGAUAUGAUUGGGCAACCCAAAAUCCAUGGUGGCCCAGGAUGAGACCCAAUCUCCCAAACCCACUGAUUAGAGUGUACAGAUUGGUGAGCAACUAUGAGGACGCCGUCAUAGUUUCCUGUCAAUGUCACGUUCCCGUUCAUGGAAGCCAACUGCAGCUGAAGGUGGUGGUGGAAGAGCAAAGCUUCACAAUGAACUACCCCGACUUCAGCAGAGGAACAGAACACCUCUUCAAGAUCACGGUGUCUUCACCCGCUUCCUUCUCAUGUGUUCAGAAACUAGACGGCAAGACUCUCCUUAGCGAUGUGUUCAUCUUCAGUAAGCAUAUUGAGAGUCAUGGUUUCCCUGGACCAGAAGUGUCUCUGUCCUACCAGGCAUUCGCAGGAACUCUGGGCUGUCUGCUUAUCCUCAUGAUUUCUGGGAUGGUGGUGAUGAUGAUGAUGACUCUGUUGAAAAUACAGAAAGUGAAACAACGGACCUUCAAGAGAUUCCCUGUCUCAGAAGACACCAAGACUGUUUGACUCUUUAAACAUAGUCUUUUUUCAGUCACAGCGACAUAUAGUUUAUAACUGCUUAGAUAUUUGAUCUUUAAAUUCAUGUUUUUAAGUGGCAUAGGACAUAACGGUAUAAUGACCUAUUAUCCAAGACUAGUAUAUGAGCCAGGAUUAGAUCCAAACAGUUAGUCACAGUGCAGGUGCAUGUCUCAUGCUAGUAGGCUUUGAUAUUUUUGUAUGCAGCUAUGCUAUAGCAUCAAUGAGUAAAUGGCUUAAUUUCUUUCAUUUUGGACUAAUAAGUAUGCAUAUAUGUAAUAUUAGUCUUUUCUUCAGUCAAGACAGAAUAUAUGUACAUGCAGCAUGCAUGCUUACAUGCUUAUGUUUAUUUAGUAGAGUUUAAAAUACUUAAAUGGCUGAUAAAUCAUUACAUGAUUUGGAUUUGGCUUGAUAUAAUUCAGGUGUGUCUCCCAAUAAUAACAAUAUAAGUUCCAUCUUUUAAAUGUCUUGUGUUGAUUAAUUCCAGCUUGUCAAAUAAAUACUUAGAUAUAUUCUUCA